AUUGGUUUCAUAUUUGACGCUUCCGCACAACAACCUCCACCUCCACCUCCGAUCCUUCUUCCUCCCUUUCAAUUCUAACCCUACCCUAAUUUAAAUUAUUUAAUGUGUUGUGUUGUUCACUUAAUUUUGAUUUAAUUUAAGUUUUGUCUUCCGGGUUUUGUCAAGAACCUUGCUGGCUAUGUCACGAAUUUACAACAAGAUUGUUCUACAAUGGGCGGCUAGGAGAUUCCUUAAUUUUCUUUUCUUAAUCACGGUUUCGUUUAAUUUGUAUUGGUUUUUUUCUUAAUUUUAAGUUUACUUCUAAAUCCAAAAGUUAAUAAUUUAUUUUUAUUUUUGUUUUGGUUCUCCCAGUCGCCCCUAAAGUGGGUAGUUAUGCUUGCAGAUUUAUGACGAAGGAGAAGAUGGACGUGGUGUCAUUUUUGAAACUGAUAUGAGUCGUUACCAUUUGGUUUCUCUCUUUCUCCACCACUCAUAAACAAAGUUGUCUCAGUCUCUCAGAUACAAACAUAUUGCAGGAAGCGGGUGGAAAGGUUAAUGAAGACGAGCACGACCUAACUUGCGAAAAGUGGAGGAAGAGAUAGGCGAAGCGGCAUAUUCUUGCUUGAUUAGCGGAUUUAACAGGGUUUUGUUUCAAGCAUCUGGACGGCUAGAUGCAUUGGGGUAGAAGCACGAAAAACAAACCAUGAAGCACGAAGCAAUUCUUGAAUAGACUAACGUAUGUAAUUAUAUUUGAAAAGAAUUUGUAGUUUGAUUGCAAACAAUGUGAAGCAGCAAAAAAGAAUUUGUAGUUUCAUGAGGAACCAUUACACUAUGUUUGGAUAAGGGAAAUAAACUUGGAAUUUGGUAAAAGUCAGAAUAUAUAAAUUGACAUACACCAAUUUCUUUGUUUGUAAACAUAGAAAUUUAGA